AGCGGGGCGAGCCGCUUCCGGUUCCGGCGCUCAGGAGAAAGCAGCGCGGGUGGGAACACGGCCCGUGCCUCGUGGUUCCCGGGGUCGCUUCCGGGAACGUUUUGGGCUCCAGGGUUCUUCUGGUUGCUGUUCCCGAGGGCGGAACUUGAAUGAGGGGCGGAGUCAGGGCAAUCCGGAAAAGAUUCAGUGGGCUUGUGACCCGGCUCAGCACCCAGGAUUCAGGAUCACAACUCUGCCUUCAAGGAGCUUACAUUCUAACAGUCUGGGAGAAAUGGAACCACCCCAAUCCUCAGACCAGUGUGAACGAAGCACCUUCCCCAUUUUCCGACUAGUCUAUGCGCAUGCGCGACUCCGAACCACAAGUCCCGAAAGGCAGCGCGGCGCGCUCAGCGGGGCAGCGUUUAGAGAACGCCGCGGAAGCAGGCACUGGAGGCGGAAGACAGUAUGCGGAGAGCGCAUGUGCAGUGGUGCAAACGCAUGCGCAGAGUUGGCGCCGAUAGGCUUUCUCGUUCUGUCUGCUCCUCCCCCAGCCCUCACCCCGCGCACAAACGCGCGAGCCCCGGCCCUCACGCAGCGCGAGGAGGCGGUGGUGGCGGCUGCAGGGGGCGGAGUCAUCCGGAGCGAGGCGGGCGCAGGAAGAGCUGCCGCGGCGUUCUCUGUCCCUGCGCGGACACGGACACAGAUACGGACACGGACUCGGAGCCUGGCCCGGAGGAACAGAGAGGACUCAGGACGCUCCAGCCGUCGCGCGCCGCCAGACCAGUUGAGUCCUGUGGCUUCUUCAGAGAUUGGUUGAUGAUGGAAAUGCACUGGAUACAAGAAGCAGACUCUACUUUGUUGCAGUAGGAGCAUUCUUAGCCUUUCUCCUGAUCGUGCCCCCAGUGUUGGGCAGGAGGAGUGACAAAGAUCUCUAAUUGAAGAGAAGAAAAUAUCAUUUGGGAAACUUUUUCUCCCCCAUAUUUCUGCAUUUUAAUUUUGUUUUCGCUUUAUAAAUGGUCAACAUUGAAGAAGUAGGCAACACCUCUAGAAGCAUUCCACUCCCAGUCUAGCAUUCAACACAAGUGUAUCGUACAGAAUCUUCACAAAGCUGAGCAAGUUUCUGCUGGAUUGUUUCUACCCCAAGGCAGUCCAAGACCUUAAGGCUACAGUAGAGACACACACACACACACACACACACACACACACUUCACACUUUUUUAGCAGCUGUAUGAUUGGGGAUAAUGAAAUUAAUAUUUUAAAUGCCCUCUCAUGUAGAUGUUUCUCAAUUGAGUUGACUCUCCAAGUUCACAUUUUUCUAUUACUUUAAUAAAAUUAUAUUUUUCCUCUGUUAUCUGCCCUUU
rnacentral:lncRNA from 1 species